GACGAACGCUGGCGGCGUGCUUAACACAUGCAAGUCGAACGGAAAGGCCCUGCUUUUGUGGGGUGCUCGAGUGGCGAACGGGUGAGUAACACGUGAGUAACCUGCCCUUGACUUUGGGAUAACUUCAGGAAACUGGGGCUAAUACCGGAUAGGAGCUCCUGCUGCAUGGUGGGGGUUGGAAAGUUUCGGCGGUUGGGGAUGGACUCGCGGCUUAUCAGCUUGUUGGUGGGGUAGUGGCUUACCAAGGCUUUGACGGGUAGCCGGCCUGAGAGGGUGACCGGCCACAUUGGGACUGAGAUACGGCCCAGACUCCUACGGGAGGCAGCAGUGGGGAAUAUUGCACAAUGGGCGGAAGCCUGAUGCAGCAACGCCGCGUGCGGGAUGACGGCCUUCGGGUUGUAAACCGCUUUCGCCUGUGACGAAGCGUGAGUGACAGUAAUGGGUAAAGAAGCACCGGCUAACUACGUGCCAGCAGCCGCGGUGAUACGUAGGGUGCGAGCGUUGUCCGGAUUUAUUGGGCGUAAAGGGCUCGUAGGUGGUUGAUCGCGUCGGAAGUGUAAUCUUGGGGCUUAACCCUGAGCGUGCUUUCGAUACGGGUUGACUUGAGGAAGGUAGGGGAGAAUGGAAUUCCUGGUGGAGCGGUGGAAUGCGCAGAUAUCAGGAGGAACACCAGUGGCGAAGGCGGUUCUCUGGGCCUUUCCUGACGCUGAGGAGCGAAAGCGUGGGGAGCGAACAGGCUUAGAUACCCUGGUAGUCCACGCUGUAAACGGUGGGUACUAGGUGUGGGGUCCAUUCCACGGGUUCCGUGCCGUAGCUAACGCUUUAAGUACCCCGCCUGGGGAGUACGGCCGCAAGGCUAAAACUCAAAGGAAUUGACGGGGCCCCGCACAAGCGGCGGAGCAUGCGGAUUAAUUCGAUGCAACGCGUAGAACCUUACCUGGGUUUGACAUGGAUCGGGAGUGCUCAGAGAUGGGUGUGCCUCUUUUGGGGUCGGUUCACAGGUGGUGCACGGCUGUCGUCAGCUCGUGUCGUGAGAUGUUGGGUUAAGUCCCGCAACGGGCGCAACCCUUGUUCACUGUUGCCAGCACGUUAUGGUGGGGACUCAGUGGAGACCGCCGGGGUCAACUCGGAGGAAGGUGGGGAUGACGUCAAGUCAUCAUGCCCCUUAUGUCCAGGGCUUCACGCAUGCUACAAUGGCUGGUACAGAGAGUGGCGAGCCUGUGAGGGUGAGCGAAUCUCGGAAAGCCGGUCUCAGUUCGGAUUGGGGUCUGCAACUCGACCUCAUGAAGUCGGAGUCGCUAGUAAUCGCAGAUCAGCAACGCUGCGGUGAAUACGUUCCCGGG
rnacentral:rRNA from 1 species